CAGGAGGCAACAAUGCUUACAAAAAAGCAAACAAGCAAAACGGGUAAGGAAGUGUAGAGGGUAGAAAAGCAACUUCAGCAGUAUAUCAGAAGUAGCACGCUGAAGAAGUCCUUCAGAAUGAGCAGCUGGGCAGCAACCAUAACUAGGUGGGGGAGCUGCAGCUGAUGCCAAUUAAUAGUAGUGGUGUCAGCUGCAAAACAGAGCAGAGACCAGAAGUUUGGUGGAGAGCAGGUUCCACACCUGAAUUGGCUGGAGGAAGGCGGCAGAGGAACAGUUUAACUUUUUAAGCUUACAGUAAGAACAGGAAAGAAAGGCAGGAGGUGUGAAGGUAUUGUAAAUAGGCUUCUGUAGAAAGGAAAAGUGUGAGGUGGUUGAAGGUAGUUGAGAAAAGAACAAAGCUGAAAGAAAGGAAGCUUUGCUAUGAUGGAGUACAUAUAUUUGCUGCUUCUUCAACUGACAGAAUUACUAGCUGAGGCAGUAAAAGCUGUUGUGUGAGAUAUGUAAAGGAGUAUAUUAAGGAGAGCCUUACUUCCAACUGCAGGACACUGGGAACAGUAUUGGAGUGACCAGCUCAGAGUGUUGCAGCAGCCCCCUGUUACUUUUGGAGGAAUGAAAAAUUAUUUGAGGAUGUUGCGUAGCUGGACACAGUACCUGUUACAGAAACAACUGUGGACUAAGGUUCUGUGAAAGACUACUGCAGGCAUUAAGCCGUGUGGCACUGGACAAGUAUCAUGCAGGAAGCUUGCUCCAAGGCUGUUCUUGUUUUGGAUUGAGUUCUUAUUGAAAAGAGGCUGAAAACGAGUUCUGGGAGAGCAAAGAACGGAGCUUUGAUUUUAUUUUAUUUUUAUUUUUAUUUUUUGCCUGCUUAAUUCCAACUCAUUUGUCUCUUCUGGAUCCUGAAUUCUGGGAAGAUGACUGCAGAUAAAAGCUCUUCAGGACACGUGAAUCGUGCUUGCAGAGUCAAUGAACAUUAGCAGAACAUCUGCUCCAGACUGGACUUGACGUUAAGGACCGUAUAGAUGGCUGUCAGCAGGCUUGAUUGUGCACAGAGGAAAACAUCAAGGACUAGACUGAGUGGAUUCAGAAGAGUGCUGUCUGACAUUAGGUGAAGGCAGAAUCAUGGGAAGGUCUGCUUCUAUCUCAUGCAGGUGAUUAAACACUGGAUUGAAGUUGAGGCAUUGGAAAACCUCAGAAGCUGUUUUACUGCAAGACAACACCAAUGCUACAGAUAUUAUUCCUACGAUACUAGAAUAUGAAUCAAGAAGAUAAAACUGAAAAAAAAAUAGUUUAUUUUGGAUUUUUUUCAUCUCUGUAUUUAAAAAUGUUUUUCUUGCUCCAAAAGUAAUGCUUUCUGUUUAUUUCCUUGAAAACUACUACAGAUACAUCAAGCACAGCAACGCUAUCUUAUAGAGCAAAUUCUCAGCUACAAAACAUUAUUUUUCAACAUAGUCAGCAGCAGUAGGUAUGGAAUUUCACCAGUGUCUUCCAUGUCAUGCUUGUAAAAAUUCCCACCAGUGGAAGUGACUGUUGGUCGCUGUUGUGACUGCUGAAACACACCACCCACCGCCUCACUGGGCUCACAUCCAGUAUUUGGUCUCCGUAAACAUUCAUCAAGGGUCGAUGAAUGUCAAUGAGUGCGAUUUUUUCCUAACAGAAGAAUUCAAUGACACACCUUUGCUUCAUCAGCACUUCUAUGUCAGACACCAUUCUAUCAGACUACCCCUCUGCUGCUGUCUGCCACACAGCAACAGAACGGAAUGGGAUAGUGGCCGGAAGGUUAGACUUCUAUUGCCAAACCACCAACGUCCACCUCUGACACUGUGGGCCAACAUAAUAAAAUAGGAGGCAUUGCUUUUAUAGUAGCCCUCCUUCUUUGUAGGUUGAUGUGAUAUUAGCUAAAUAAUCUGCAGUUAACAGCACAACUAAAGUUUUGCAUUCUUAAAUGAGCCUCAGACCAGCCUCAUGUAUACAUGCACACUUUAAAAGCAUACAGGCAUAUACGGGUGCAGACUGUAGGUAUUACGUUUCUACAUGUAGCCCCUUAGUUACUGGUUUUCCCACAGUUCAGCUUUGAACUGUGGGAAAGGGCUGACUACACACUCCAAAUGAGAACAAUAACAAAAAGUCCUAUUGUAUAUUUAACUAUUUAGAGCAACAAUACCUGUUGUCAGAUAUAAAAGAUUGUUUUAUAUAUUUUCUCAGGAUGGUCAAAUCACUAUUUAUAUCAUAGAAUCUCUUCUCAUAUCAUCAUGUUUUAAUAUACCUAUUAAAAAUGGAUAGGAGUUGACUGACUCACACACUAUUCAGAGUACCCAUUUACAAAUAAUAAAGGAAAAUUUGCCAAUAAUCUGCAGUAAAAUAUGAAUAGUUCUGUUAAUUCAAGUAGCACAGAUGCAGCAUGUGCCAAUUUAGCAAAUACAUAAAGCCAAAAAGCUUCUAGAAUCAAUCCAAUUUGUUCUGAAGUCACAAAAAUGUUGGCUUUAUAUGUAGUAUAGUAAUAAUGUACAGCUUAGGAAAGAAAAUGGGAACUAACUCAUCUAUCUGGAAAGCAGACGUGCAGAAUGGUCCUUUAUGCUCCUCAUGCAAUCCAGAUUCGGAAGAGCAGAGAGAAAAAAAAAAAAGAAAAAAGAAAGGAUGUAAUAAUAGACUUAAAGUAAACCAAAUAAAGUCAUUUAAAAAUGACUAAAGAGCAAUAGCAAAUGAAAAAUGCCUUCGGGUACACCAUCUGUUUAUCCAUUCCAUAUUAUACCUUUUCAUCACAAUUACCUAAAGUAGUAUAUUUGUAUUUCUGUAAUGUAUGGAAUUCAUUACAUAGUUUUGCAAUGAAAUUAUCACACUGUGGCUGGGACAUCUGCACCCUGUCAUAUAUCAUUCUAUUCAUUUCUAGUUAAUUUAAUCCUAAUAUCUGCCUACAUGACAAGACAGAUGUUCAGCUAUACUGUAUCUUCCAUAGUUUUCUGCCUUGAAGAAACUUUAAGUCACUGAAAGAAAUGUCAUCUUUUAAACAGACAUCUUACGGGUUUGGGAAGUAUGCCUGUGCAGAUGUGCUUGUACGUAUGUGUUUGUGUUUAUAAGCCAUAUUCCUUUUAUGAGAGGAUUGUUUUACAAAACAAAAAUAUUUUACAGCAUUCUUUAAAUUUAAACAUUUUUCAUUUCAGACACGUCUUUCUUUUCAAAGUGUGCUUUAUUAAUAUUUUGCCAUACUUAUUUAAUAGCAUUCAGAAAUAUAAUGUAUUUCUCUUGAAUUAACUUCUAAAUCUCUUGCCUUGAAUGGGACAUAUCUUUUUCAUCAUUGCUAAUUAGAAGUCAUGGGUCAGUCUUCCUCUUUUCAUUCUCAGCCUCAACUCUCAAAAAUCAAAUGAUAGUCAUUCUUUUUGGGUAAUAGUAUUGUCAGACACACAGAUGCCAACCAGAAGCACAUUAUAUUCUAUGUGUUUUACAGUUGUUUGAUUUGAAUUUGUAUGAACUUAUGCCAUUGGUCACUUACUUAUAGAUGUAAAAUAAAUUUGUAGCAUAUCUAUGUGGAAAAAGAA